ACUCCUGCGGGAGGCAGCAGUGGGGAAUAUUGCACAAUGGGCGCAAGCCUGAUGCAGCGACGCCGCGUGGGGGAUGAAGGCCUUCGGGUUGUAAACUCCUUUCGCUAGGGACGAAGCUUUUUUGUGACGGUACCUAGAUAAGAAGCACCGGCUAACUACGUGCCAGCAGCCGCGGUAAUACGUAGGGUGCGAGCGUUGUCCGGAAUUACUGGGCGUAAAGGGCUCGUAGGUGGUUUGUCGCGUCGUCUGUGAAAUUCUGGGGCUUAACUCCGGGCGUGCAGGCGAUACGGGCAUAACUUGAGUGCUGUAGGGGUAACUGGAAUUCCUGGUGUAGCGGUGAAAUGCGCAGAUAUCAGGAGGAACACCGAUGGCGAAGGCAGGUUACUGGGCAGUUACUGACGCUGAGGAGCGAAAGCAUGGGUAGCGAACAGGAUUAGAAACCCCGGUAGUCCCAU
rnacentral:rRNA from 1 species